rnacentral:rRNA from 1 species
AUUGAACGCUGGCGGCAUGCCUUACACAUGCAAGUCGAACGGUAACGCGGGGCAACCUGGCGACGAGUGGCGAACGGGUGAGUAAUGCAUCGGAACGUGCCCAGUAGUGGGGGAUAGCCCGGCGAAAGCCGGAUUAAUACCGCAUACGACCUACGGGUGAAAGGGGGGGAUCGCAAGACCUCUCGCUAUUGGAGCGGCCGAUGUCAGAUUAGGUAGUUGGUGGGGUAAAGGCCUGCCAAGCCGACGAUCUGUAGCUGGUCUGAGAGGACGACCAGCCACACUGGGACUGAGACACGGCCCAGACUCCUACGGGAGGCAGCAGUGGGGAAUUUUGGACAAUGGGCGCAAGCCUGAUCCAGCCAUGCCGCGUGCGGGAAGAAGGCCUUCGGGUUGUAAACCGCUUUUGUCAGGGAAGAAAUCUUCUGGGUUAAUACCUCGGGAGGAUGACGGUACCUGAAGAAUAAGCACCGGCUAACUACGUGCCAGCCGCCGCCGUAACAC